GGCGCAUACGAUUUAAUGCAUAUGUUAAUGAGGCCCUGUUUCUAUUGUCGUUAUUACAAUGCAUUUCGUACCCGCCUUGUGAAAAAACACGACACGGGAAUAUUCAAAAGAGCGUCAGGCGAUCCGGGAGGGUCAUUGAGAAAACCAAAACCAUCAUCGUAUCAAGAAGAAGCGUUUGCUUGAGGGUAUACACACGUAGGAUAGUGAGAUAGAGUUUUAACUGCAGAUACCUGGAUAAUAGACAGACGAUGACGUCACAGUGCCUACAGAGCAUCAUAGUGUUUCUCUCAGUCUGCGUCAGCAGGACAUUAGCAGCGGAGAAUGGCGGAUCGAACAACACGGGUGCACUUGUAGCAGAUGUUUCGGGUGUCUGGUCGCUAUAGCCGGUUUGGGCAUGUGGUUCCGUGAUACCUAUAUGAGGGUUUACCAAGAUUUUGGCGAAUACGGUACUGGAUUCAAUGACCCAUACAACAGGGAACUUACAGCGUACACCAAUCCUGGCAUGGUUAAAACAAUAUCUGGCAACAUCGACGUUGAGCACCUGGACACGCCGAGGUAUUAAUCUUCAGAGGGCGUUGUGGAAAAGCUGCCACAAGCUGGCGUACAUCAUUCCGGAAUAUGAUUGAAUAAUAGACCGUUCCUGUAAGUCGUGCCCUCUAACGACGAAGUGCUACAAUGACGUCAACAUGACGUACACGAGCGUAAGCAAUGUCGUUUAAUGGGACGCCUCUGAUUGGCUGUGUAGACGUUCAUCGUUUAGAAUAUUAUUAUAUUGUGUUUCUCUGUCUACAGACAUUCACAAAUUGAAACCAUAUCGACGGUGUGAGCAGCCCCCUUGUCCCCUUGACAACAUAGAUGCGAUUUCUCUCUAGAGGGCGCAACUUAAUCGAACAGUUUGUUGCAGAUGUGUUUUCCCAGGUGUGAAAGUGCGUGGAAAUUAUAAUCGGAUUCCCAUCCUUUAAUACGAUUACAAAAAAUGAAGAAAUGCAAUUACAUAAAGCACUUUGUUUAUGGUGGAGGGCCGGGGAGGGGGGUAUUUUAUAAUUGUGAGAUGUGUGAUUUUUUGGUCCGAGGGACACCAGUUUACAUUAAUUCUUUCGAUCCACCGACAUUGUUAAUAAUUUUAUUCAUGUCGGUACAAUCUAUCGUCUGGGACACUCAUCUUUAAUUUUAUUUUAAUUGCACCCACUCGUGGUCAAUACGAUGAACAAACAUUACUUCAGGGAAAGUUAAUGCUGCAAAGACGUUGUACGAUUUCUGUCUGAAAAUGUAAUAAUUUGAUAAUGUUUGUUCCAAUUUCAUAUCAUUUGAAAUAACAUCUGCCCAAAUACUUGGUAAUUCACCAAAUAUUUAACAAGUGCAAUUUCGAAUAUGUGCUUUUAUAAUUGGGAGGUUGCUUGGCAUUAACAGGCAGUUUAUUUCCAAUGCCAUAUUUAAUAUUUGUAUUAAUCAAUUGAAUGUUGAUAGGGACUCCUUGUGUUUUACAAUUAGGGUACAUGUACUGGUUGGGUUAUGGGUUUUGUGUGUGGGAGGGAUGUUGUCGGGUGGAUCUUGGUAUAUUCCAUUUCUUAAGGUGGAUACGAAUGCCAAAGUAGAUUUGUACUCUAGAAAUAACGAAAAAAAAUGUGCGGCGUUAUGAUUUUUCUUUUCGCACAAGUAUUAUUUUGUAUACCUUUCAACAAAUUCUUCCGAAAAGUAAACAAUUGAAUAUUUU
rnacentral:lncRNA from 1 species